GAUGAACGCUAGCUACAGGCUUAACACAUGCAAGUCGAGGGGAAACGAUGAGAGAGCUUGCUCUCUUAGUCGUCGACCGGCGCACGGGUGAGUAACGCGUAUCCAACCUGCCUCUGACCAAGGGAUAACCCGUCGAAAGUCGGACUAAUACCUUAUGCAGACGUCGGAAGUCAUCUGAUGACGACGAAAGAUUUCAUCGGUGAGAGAUGGGGAUGCGUCUGAUUAGCUUGUUGGCGGGGUAACGGCCCACCAAGGCGACGAUCAGUAGGGGUUCUGAGAGGAAGGUCCCCCACCUUGGAACUGCGACCCGGUCCAAACGCCUACGGGAUGCAGCAGUGACGAAUCUUGGUCAAUGGGCGUAAGCCUGAACCAGCCAAGUAGCGUGCAGGAUGACGGCCCUGUGUGUUGUAAACUGCUUUUAUGCGGGGAUAAAGUGAGGGACGUGUCCUUCAUUGCAGGUACCGCAUGAAUAAGGACCGGCUAAUUCCGUG
rnacentral:rRNA from 1 species